AAUAAUUGAAAAUUCAACCCAAACUGGAAUUUCUAACAGGACAGAGCUAAUAGAGAGAUACUUCACCUGAAACCCGACAACUUUCCAUAAAUCCAAGAUUACGAAAGUAUUAUCGUCAAUAUUUUAUUUUUUUUCUUUACUUUUUGAAUCUCUUAAAUACAAUUUUGGAUUUAUUCAUUAAA